UAGGGAAUAUUGCACAAUGGGCGAAAGCCUGAUGCAGCAACGCCGCGUGAGCGAUGAAGGUCUUCGGAUCGUAAAGCUCUUUUCUGGGAGAUGAGAAAGGACAGUAUCUCAGGAAUAAGUCUCGGCUAACUACGUGCCAGCAGCCGCGGUAACACGUAGGAGGCGAGCGUUAUCCGGAUUCACUGGGCGUAAAGCGCGUGCAGGCGGUUCGGUAAGUUGGGCGUGAAAUCUCCUGGCUCAACUGGGAGAGGUCGUUCAAUACUACCGGACUUGAGAGCGAUAGAGGAAAAUGGAAUUCCCGGUGUAGUGGUGAAAUGCGUAGAUAUCGGGAGGAACACCAGUGGCGAAAGCGAUUUUCUGGAUCGUUUCUGACGCUCAGACGCGAAAGCUAGGGUAGCAA
rnacentral:rRNA from 1 species